UGGGGAAUAUUGGACAAUGGGGGGAACCCUGAUCCAGCCAUGCCGCGUGUGUGAAGAAGGCCUUAUGGUUGUAAAGCACUUUAAGCGAGGAGGAGGGUACUGGUAUUAAUACUACCAGCUACUGGACGUUACUCGCAGAAUAAGCACCGGCUAACUCUGUGCCAGCAGCCGCGGUAAUACAGAGGGUGCGAGCGUUAAUCGGAUUUACUGGGCGUAAAGCGUGCGUAGGCGGCUAAUUGAGUCGGAUGUGAAAUCCCCGAGCUUAACUUGGGAAUUGCAUUCGAUACUGGUUAGCUAGAGUGUGGGAGAGGAUGGUAGAAUUCCAGGUGUAGCGGUGAAAUGCGUAGAGAUCUGGAGGAAUACCGAUGGCGGAGGCAGCCAUCUGGCCUAACACUGACGCUGAGGUACGAAAGCAUGGGGAGCAAACAGG
rnacentral:rRNA from 1 species